AGAGGAGAGCAGUUCAUUUUGUUGGGGCUUCUCAUGUCAAUGCCGCUGUACUUGCAAAGGUUUAUUAACCUGUAAAAGGGAAAUAAAGGUUAUCAAUCAGUUUGAUGAGCCAUCAGCGAGAGAUUUUCAUCCAGCGCCAACCAUUCUGAAGCAAUAGUGCCAUCUGUAGUCUGGAUGGAGAACUAUUGAUGUCUGAGCAGCAAUGUGUGAUAGGAAGCACUUGCAAGUGGGCUGCCACUGAUUUGAGUUGUAUCUUUUUGAUCAAGUCUUUCUAAGCAAGAGAAAAUAGUGUGUUACAUAGCGUUUACUACUCCUCUCCUUUCUCCUCUUCCUUUCUAAGCUGUGCUAUCCAAACAUUAUGUAUCCUUGUACAGUCAAAAGCAGAGCUUUGGUGCUGACGUGUGACGAAGUCUGAAAAAACUACGGCAUCACUUCUCACUUCAACAGUUCAAAUUCCUCGCAGCCUUUUCCACCUUUGUCCCAGUAUGUCAAAUCUCUCCACUAUCUUGCCAGCCCAUACCUGGACAGCAGAGCCAGACCAAAGGGAGAGAGUCGAGGGGAGAACUUUGUAACCCCUUUAAGCCUUUGGCUCAGCUCUGUGUGUGUAGGGGAUUCACUGUUAGUGCUGUCUGUAAUCCUGGAUUCCCCGAGAGAUUAGCGUUCAGAGAGGGUUUGCUUGUCCUGCGCUGCUCUACACUGGCCAGGUUAGGAGAACAGGAUGAGCUCUGGGAUGAUGAGCUUACACCAGGAUUGAGCUGUGACUGAUCAGCCUAUUCAUCACGAGCACAAGUCAGGACAGCACUUCACAGCUGUUGUGCCCAAGGUUUCUAUUUGUAGAGAGACUGCUGUUUUAAUUACUUGUACACAACUUCUUCCUCAUUACAGGGAGGUAUUAAUACUUCAUGAUUAUUUUAAAGGUUACAAAAAAAAGCCUCCUACGUAAAUCAUCCAGUAGACGCUCCAUCAAUUUGACUAAAAGGUCCUGGAGCCAACUAAUGCACAGCUGACCUUCACUUUGAAGAGGUUUCUGAUGAACGCUUGAACCACAAGAAUCUUCAUUAAGAAGCAUUUCCACUGUGAGAGGAACAGAUGUUUAUGAGACGCUGUGAUAAACAUAUUUUUAGCCCUAAUAUGGACUAGCAAUAUCUAUUUGUCGAGAAAACUCACCACUUAAAGGUAGAGUGCGCAGAAUUUUUAAGGUAUUUAGCAGAACAGGCUGGUAGAGAUGGAACAUGAGUAUUUGAAUUGUUUAUCUUGAAAAAAAAAAGCCUUUUAUACAUGCACUUUAUAGAGUCUGUUCACAGGGAAAACAAAUUAGCAAGGGACCAUUUGCGGUUUUGUUUUCAGUGGGUGUCCAUCUGAAAUGCACCUGUUGAAAGACAAAGACAAGGAAAAGUGUAGUUAUGAUGUAAAAUAAAGAUACAUUACGAAAUAUUUGGACCGGUUGGAUGUUAUUCAGUCGUAAAACUGGACAAAUCGAGGCUCAUACUCAUGCAUUAUAGAUGACUGUUGCUCCACUGGAGGGAAGAGUGACUAAGGGAGCGCCUUAAUGUAAAAUCUGACUGCUCGGUAAUAAUAAGUAUUCCCAUUUCUGCACUUAGUACCUUUAAAUACCUCAUAAUUAUUCAAGGGAUCUGAAUCAAUUUUUAAACAGAUUUCCAUGAUCUCCAGAGGACAAAGCCAGUGUAAACAUAAACAAAAUACUAAGUUUGGAGCCCAGAAGCUCACUGGUAGUAAGCAGUAUAGACUCAUUUGCAGCAAGAAAAGGGCACACAUAUCCCACAGUAAUGGGAUAUGAAUUCAUACAAAUAAAGAAAGAGAAGACUCCUGGUGUAUAAAGAAUGCUUUUCUAGAGGAGGUCUUGUUUGGUACAGUGUGGUCCUAUAAACUCUGGCCUGUCAUGCAUUUUUACACCCAACCAUACCCAUACUUGGUUAGCAGGGUCGUGAGCUGAACGGCAUUAGCCCUGUCAGCUAAGAAGAAGUAACUGAACUGCAACAACAGGGGACACCAGACAAGAGAUUUAAUCCAUAGGAUAUUUUAAAGUGGCAUGUCUGUUCACUUUUGCAGCUGUGGGACAAAAAGUAACAUGCAGUGCAUAGACUGUAUAUACUAUGGACAACUUGGUCCAGCCUUCCAUCAUUGUAUGAAUUUGGAGCUGAAUUGCUCUCUGUAUUAUUUUAUCCACUUCAGGAGAGUCGCUGUGAUGACGCUCAGCUCAAACAGCAUAUCCCCUGGGAGAGCUACGUAAUCUUUAUAUGUCCAUAGGCUGUAACAAGUGUCAAUCAUAGAAAACAUGAACCCCCUAAUAAUCAUUUUAAAAUGGAGCUGUACAGAAAAAAAGAGGACUUGAUCACAAACCAGUCUUACAGUAACUACAUGUCAACAUCGCAACCAGGGGUGAGAAAAACUUAUGUUCUGUGUAAUAAAUUUCUAAAGUUCCAGUCCACAGCUCCAUAGGGAUUGCUGGAGGAGGCGGGAAUUAUACUGCAGCCUGUCACCAGAGGGUGCUGUUCUUGUGGUAGCUUGACCCAGUGAGUAGGUAGAUGGCGUCUAUUCUAUAUACAGUCUAUGAUGCUGUGUGUCUAGCUCUACCAUUUAGAGUGUGAUAAGUAGGCUGGUUUCCCAAGAAAGAGCGUGGUAAGAAAAUGGUAGGAAUCGGCACAGAAUGAUUAUUUUGUUACGUUUUCCAUUUCAGACAGUAAAAAUGCAAAUGAUUAUGUACCUUACUGAACUCAGUCACUCUAUGGACACGCAGCUUUAGUCUACCAUCUCAGAACCCAUUGGCUGAUAUUUGGUGACAGUAGAGCCUUGAAAGGGCCUGCAAACUUUUUCGAGCUUCCAGGUAAGCCAGGGGCUAAUGAUAUCAGACCUCCAGACUUUCUUUUCCGUGCAUUAAAAGUGUUUACAGUCCAACCAUCAACUUGGGGAGAUUGUUGAUGACAUGAGGCAAAGAGUGGUUUGUUGGCUGUGCCUUUGCAGAAGACUGAUGAUGAAGUUUUAAAUAAAAGAUUCAUCUUUGUCAGACUAUAGCAGAUGAGUUUGGAGUUUGCACCACAACUGAUAUUUUAUGCUUUCAACAGGAACAAACAGGAGCCAGAACUAUUCAAACACAUGAUACUGCAUGACUUCCACACAGACUUCACAUUUAUUCACUAAAUCUGCUUGUAGAGGUUAAUAGAGGCAAAACAGCGAAUCAAAUGCAAACUGGAGCCCCCACUUUAACUAUUGUGGCACAUUUUUAACUUAGUCCCAAACUAACUAAAUUCAAAUUCAAAUGAUGGGGUUGAACCGAGAGGUUGAUAGAAGUCUGGUCUCUCUGUUAUUCUUAUUCUUGUUCUCAACUAGCUGAUGAAUCCAAGGAAUGAUCCAACCUACAGAAGUACUCUUUGAGACAUUAGCCAUGUUAACAUGAAAUUUCUUAAUCCGAUUAAAAAUUUGAGGGAUCGGAAAAUCUGAAUUCACUGUUGAUAUGGGUGUAAAUUCAAAUAAUACGAUCAUGACAUGCGUAUACUUGUAUAAUAAAUCACCCUUCUCGUUCAGAAUACAAUUUCUUUCGGAUUAAGCUGAUAGAUCAGAAUUUUCCGAUCGACAUGUUUAUAUGAUGCUUUUAUAUUCUGAUCGGGCCUUUAUUCAGAUAGUUUGUGCCCAUGUAAACACAGCUAUUGGGUACUACAAGCAGGAAACACUUUAAGCUCUGGGGGUCAUGAGUAUAUAAUCUUCUUCUGUAGAUUAUGAUGGGAGUUUAUUUUCUAGUUUUUGUCUGUACACAUUAAGCAGCUUUGUAGACCAGUUGAAGAGUCUUGAUAAACUUAUUACAGCAGACUAAUAAGAAGCCCAACAAAUGUGUGGACACACGUGAUUUUGAGGAGGGAAAUACUUGAUUCUUGAAAUUUUAAAAAGCAAAUAUUGCAAAUGAUACCGGAGUUUUAGGACAUCCUGUUACAAGCCAGUAAAAAGGCAGCUACAAAGGUAGUAAGAAAAGGGGAUCUGGGAGAUCAAAGUGGAUGUGCAGGUAGAGGUUGGGGGGUCAGAGGGUGAUCUGUUGGUGAACAAGGCAGAGAGAGGCACCAACUACUCUAAGAUGCUUAGGAACAGAGUCGUGGAAGAUUCCCAAGGUGAGGGAGUGAGUGGAAAAGGAGAUCAGGGCUAAAGUAAGCUCAUCCAUCUCUGUCCAUUUUAGGGGGAGAGGCUGGAAGAGCUAAAGAUGGAUGAGGCAUGCAGGGCUAAAUCCCGUCAUGUCCACUCACACAACAGGGCCUGGUGGUGAAAUAGUGUUUUGGCUGCGAGCAAGGCCAGCCCGACCCACUCCCUUUUUUUCGGGAAUGAAGAUGACGGUUGGACCAGUUAGGAUGGAUUAGUCAAACAACACCUGACAUGAAGAGGAGAGCUAUAAGGAGAUAACUGCCUUAAUUCAGAACUCAAUGGAAAAAAGUUAAAACUCUUUGCAACCAGUUAAGUGUUUCCAUGUUUUCGAUCAGCUCCAUUAAUCUAAUGAAAAUUAGAUCACUAUAAUAAAUGUACAUUUUUUCGACUGUGGUGUAUUUGUACAGAUUUUCUUGGCUUGUCAAGUCGCAUCAUCUGUGUUUUCAUGAUGAAAUUCAUCUUGUGGGAGCAAGCAUGCUUUCAACAAAGCAGGGGUUUUAAGGAAUUCUCUUCGGAGGGUCGACCGCAUCUCAUUCAUCAAUCCUAUACAUCACAGCCAGGGUGUUCUGCUGUCUCAAUACAUACUCAGAAGGGGCUGGGCUGUUUGUGGGAAGAGGGAAGUUUGUGUUAGAAAAAAAAAUAACAAUCAAAGUAUAUGAAGCACUAAGGUCAUCUGGCAAAGGGACUUUUCUUCUUGUCAUUGCACAAUAUCUCCCUUUUGAUCCUGACAUAUGCUUCCCCAGCAAAAUUGCAACAGCAUGAAUGCAACUUAAUUUUUUUUCUCCAAGGGCAUUGUUGCUGGGAAAUAAUUUCCUCUCAAGGCAAGAGAACAUAUCUGAAAAAAGACAGAAAAAAAACAUUUGUGUUUGUGUGUUUGUGUGUGUGUGUGUGUGUGUCUUUGGUAAGAGAGAGGCAGAGAAUGUGUGGUUAUGAAAGUGUGAUAAUAAAUGUGCAAACAUUGUGCAGGCAUGCCUGUAUGUCAGCUUGAGUUUGUGUUCACGUGACAAAGAGUGUGUGUGAGACUUUGCGGUGAUUUCAGCAAUAUGAAGACCUUAUGCUGCUGGAAUUAAAACUAUUGGCUUCAGGCGAUGCUUGUACUUCUGAGCCUCUUGACCAGGAGGCUCCAGACUGCUGCAGUCUUCUUCCAGGGGAUAUUCUGUGGCCUCCACUGGUCGUUCUGGUUGUUGCGUUGGCUUUUUUGCUCCAGGCUCUCUGGCAGGAGCCUCAGCCAUGCACAUGCUGAGGCUGCAUCCUGUCUGCAAACUCUGUCACAGUGUCGGGCAUGUGUCAGAUCAGGAAGGGGCAAGUUGCUGGCUCCAAUAGACAGUUGUUCUUUCCAGCCCGAGCUUCCCAAACCGCAAAUCCCCUCUCUGUGUGUUUUCUCAGCCAGAAUGCAUGGGCUCACCCCACACAGGGCCCAGAGCCUAAUUACAAAAAGGAGGGAAAACCAGAGCUGGCUACUGAUUGAGCUUCCUGGGUGAACGUUAAUGACAACCGCAGAAGGAUACUUUAUACCCUGAGAGGGAUGCAACCGAGACUGGGAAUAGAUGGAAGUAUGGGAGGUUUGGAGUCACAUAGACACAUCUUUACAUGGAUUUAUGAAGACAAACAAGCUAUGACAUGCUCUUUUAUUACAUAUGCAUCAUGAUAUACCUUGUCCAAGUGCACUGACAUGAUACAACCAGAAACAGUAAACACUUUUAAACUCUGCUGCUGCAGUCAAAGGAGUUUAGAGGCAACGUGCCAAACCUCAUUCCAACUGGGAACAAUGGGACACAUAUUCUUCCACAUUGCAGCAUUCAUGCGGUGUAAUCACUUCCUUCUCUUGAUUUCCACUACCCACAUACCGCACUGUCAAUGGUUGGAUGUAUCCAAAUAAAACAGUUCCAGGUACUAGUGCUGAACUUGCAUAUUUAUUUUCAUGCUAAAUGCAUUUAUCUGCUUUACUGCAUCUCAAAGCAAACAUGGUACUUUUUACUCAACUAGAUUAAUGUGGCAGGAGUAUUUAGUAUCCAUGAGUUAAUUUAAACAGCUAAUUGAUUUUGUCUACCUCAUAGACUGAAGCAAGAGCAGAUGGCUAGCUUUCUAUGCUACAUGACUCACCUAAAACUUAUUGUUUCCCCCAUAGACUGUAUAUACUAUAGACAACUUGGUUCCACCUUCUGUCGUUAUACGAAUUUAAAGCCGAAAGGGGAGAGAAAAAAUUAUAUUCUGUGUAAUUAAUUAAAUUUGUCCAUAGCUCCAUAGGGAUUGCUGGAGGAGGUGGGAUUUAUGACCUAUACUGCCGCCUGUCACUAGAGUCUGCUUUUCUUGCGGUGGCUUCACCCAGCGAGGAGGCAGACGGCGUCCAUGCUAUAUACAGUCUAUGGUUUCCCCUCUGAAGUACUUGAAUAAACAAAGUACAUCAUCUGAAAAUUCAUCUUUAAGAAUGGGCAUUUGGUCAACUUUGUUCCGCUUUGGCAAUUUAAAGCCCUCGGCAGCAGGUACUCAUAUUUUCUAUUGCUGCCGGAUGCUGGGAAUAUUGAAUUCCCUUCGUAGAUCUAUAAAGUUAUUCUUAUCUUAUGUUAUCUUAUCUUAUGUAAUCUUAUCAACCAUAGUUAAGUUCUACUAGUACUCAGAUUUGAAGUACAUUUACUCCAUUUUUGUUUAAGGCAUGAUUGACAAUUGGAGAGAUUGGUAAUUAUUAUGAACCUUGCUUUUAUGGUGAUCAUGGUCCUAUAGUGCGAUCUCCACAAAGUGAGGAGAAAAAAGAAAAUCCUUUUACCCUAGCAGGUGCAGGGCUGCAAAAACAUUGACCAAUGGGAGCCAUCCAUCCCGGACCGCUCCUAUUGGUCAAUCUCCUGCUCCACCUCUCUAUUCAGUUACUUUGCUGUAUUUGACACACUUCACUCCAUAGUUCCGAGGGGGGGGGGGGGGGGGGUUGCGUCUACUGUUCAUUAAUAUUACUAGUAAGCCAUGUAAGUCAGACACCAAAAUAACAUAAAAACAAAAGGAACAUUUUGUGACUCUGGGCCCGGGGUAACAAGGUCAGGUGUUUACAAAGCUCUCCAAGGAGGUAGAAAACCAUUGACUCUGUUUUUAAUGCAGGAAACCUUCUGACUUGUGACUCCACAUGUCCAGCAAUGCGGCUUCUUUCUGCGCUCUGAAACACAACCAGUGGAUGUUGACAUGGAGCAGGAGCAUGGAGCAGAGAUGGACUGAACACAGAUCUCUUGUGAGUAUGGCACUACGGUAUUAAGAAGUAUCCAGCAGUCAGAUUCCAUGUCGAGACACUCUACUUCACUUGAGGCUCUAGGAGCAACUGUAGCCUUCGGGACAAAAAGCUCCUGUGAAUAAGUGUGAUCCAUAUCUGUCAAGUUUUUAGCAUCAAAACAGUCUAUGAUUCAAAAUGAUGUUGUUUAGUCUUUUUUAUCUACAUCUUCCUCCUCUAACCAGUGCAGUUCCAGCAGCCACCCACUCAAUGCAAAAAUUGGUAUGGGCUCUGUCCCUUACCAUGACAGUGCAAAAGGGCAGCCUACAUAAAAGAGAAUUUCCUGGGGUGCAGAUGGCCUAGCAGUCUAGGCACCUCUCAUAUAGAGAGAUCUCGUUGCAGUGGUCUCUGGUUGGAUUUCCAGCCACAACCCUUUGUUUCAUGUUUCCCCUGCUCUCUGCCCUUCUUACGUUUCCUGUCCCUCCUCAGCUGUUGGAUCUAAUAAGCAGAAAAGCCCUGAAAUAUAACUUGAUAAAAACUGAUGGAAACGUGGCUGCCAGUUUGCGCCUACGGCCUCUCCGACCACCAACACACAACACGCACAUUCAUACACCAGUGGAGGACACACACUGGGAGCAAGGUGGGUUACGUAUCUUGCCCAAGGACACAAUGGACAGACUAGGGAUAGGGGAGGAAUUGAACCAACAACCUUACAGUUAUUGGAAGACCACUCUACCUCCUGAGCUACUGCCGCCCCAAAAACAGGAUUUUCAUACAGAUACAGUGACACAAAUUUAAACAUACAAAUAUUAUGUCACUUUUCUGAUGCUAAAAACACACACUCUACCUUUAAAUCAAACAAGUGGACUUAUUUUGUAUUUUUUAAGGAGGACUACCACAUGAAAAUGAGAUAAUCAGCUAAUACUGCAUAUGUACAUUAGGGCUCACCUUUCUUGCAUCUGUUCAGAGGUAGCAUUAGCUGGUAUGUAGACACAACAGGCUUAUUUCAAGUAAACAAAAACAAAGAAAUCCUUAUAUCCUGGUAACUGUUUACAACUUUCAACAUUUUGUUUUUAUAACUUAUUUCUAUCAAGGCCAUUCUGCUAGUUGUCACUAAGUACUACAAACUGUACCCAGAGCUGAAAAGCACCAGGCAAGGCACCCAGCUUUAUUCCAUCGCAUGUUUCCCUAACUCCAAC